CGGCUUCCGGCUUCCGCCUUCCGCAGCGGUCACGUGCCUCCGAUCACGUGACCGACUCCUCUGUCAUCCUACUGCGGUCGCGCUGUUUUCCUUCUACCUGUGCUGCCCUCAACGACUCCUUGGUGCGGGACCCGCUUCACUUUUCCCUCCCGGAGUCUCUCACCGCUGCUUAGACCUCCGGAACUGACAGGAGACGCCGACUUGGCUCCGACUAGGCGCCCCAGCCCGGCUGUGGCCCCGGCGCCCCGGACCGCCGCACCCUCCCUGCCAGCUUUGGGCGCAUUGUGGGGUCCCGAGGGUUCGCAAGAUCUGUUAAAAGACAUUCAAGGUUACAGUUUAGAUGACCAAAAUGGAUAUCCGAGGUGCCGUGGAUGCUGCUGUCCCAACCAACAUUAUUGCUGCCAAGGCUGCAGAAGUUCGUGCAAACAAAGUGAACUGGCAGUCUUAUCUUCAGUAAGUACCGAUUUGCUGUGAAUCAUGGACAGUCAUAUGCUUUUGCCUCAGACUUUUUCAUGGUCAUGCUUCUAUGAGAGAAAUACUGGGAAAAUAUUGAUAAAUGUGGAAAAAACACUUCCUCCUCAGAAUAAUUAGCUGUCUUAGGGAGUUAAGUGUAGUGAGGUGGAAACAGCUUGGUGCUCUAGUGAGAAAACAGAGCUGCUCG
rnacentral:lncRNA from 1 species